ACAGCAGUCGCCGCGGUAAUACAGAGGGUGCGAGCGUUAAUCGGAUUUACUGGGCGUAAAGCGUGCGUAGGCGGCUUUUUAAGUCGGAUGUGAAAUCCAUGAGCUUAACUUAGGAAUUGCAUUCGAUACUGGGAAGCUAGAGUAUGGGAGAGGAUGGUAGAAUUCCAGGUGUAGCGGUGAAAUGCGUAGAGAUCUGGAGGAAUACCGAUGGCGAAGGCAGCCAUCUGGCCUAAUACUGACGCUGAGGUACGAAAGCAUGGGGAGCAAACAGGAUUAGAUACCCGAGUAGUCCCUGUCUCUUAUCC
rnacentral:rRNA from 1 species